rnacentral:misc_RNA from 1 species
AAGUCGUAACAAGGUUUCCGUAGGUGAACCUGCGGAAGGAUCAUUAGUGAAUGAUUUGUGGAUCCUCAUGCAAUCAAACAUGAGUUGACUCCCAAACCCCCUCACUAUCCACUCCGGCAAGGGGCUAGUACCCAAGCCGAGGCAAUCCCAUACAAGCAAGUGAUCUAGGAUGGCUAACGUCCUAGACCAUAUGCUUGGGAUGCCCGCAAAAAAUUGCUUGGGGCAACUCUAGCAAUUUUUUCUUUUUGAAUCUAAAGUUAUGUAUGUAUAGUAUAUUUUAUAACAAAAUACAACUUUCAGCAACGGAUCUCUUGGCUCUC